CCAUGCCUUCCUGCCGGACAGAGACCCAACGGAAGGAGAGCAGCUCUCUUCAUUCCUGUGCUUGUGUGCAGAUUCAAGGAGGCAAGCUUGGCUGCGGAGUCC